rfam:Clostridiales bacterium GWB2_37_7 gwb2_scaffold_815, whole genome shotgun sequence.
GGGAGCAUAGCUCAGCUGGGAGAGCACCUGCCUUACAAGCAGGGGGUCACAGGUUCGAUCCCUGUUGUUCCCA